rnacentral:tRNA from 1 species
GGGCGAGUGGCGGAAUUGGCAGACGCGCUAGGCUCAGGACCUAGUCCUGACUUGUCGGGAUGCGGGUUCAAAUCCCGCCUCGCCCACCA